AUCACCUCGCAGCAUUGUGUGUGAGCAGAGUGUGAAUGUGUGAGUAUCCUUCCCUGUCGCCUUCCUGCUGUCCAACUUUCUCUGGUGAGAGACAGAUCGGAGCAUGAUCGACUGUUACCUGGUCUGGUAGUUUUUAUAUGAUAGUCUGUUCCUGCUGCCAUGGAUCUUCUGUUUGGGGUUUCUCGGAUUUGCACUCUGUUUUUAUGGGGUUGCAUUUUUUUUCCUACACAGAAAGGUUGGAAUAUUGCACAUGGCUACUAUGUCGAUGAGAACCCACAAACCUCAAACCAGUUUCACUCUGGAGCUUUUCUAAGCACAGACUUGAAGGAUCCAACACAGGUUACAGGGGACCGGAGCUUUUCUUCCCCUCAGAGAGAACCGGUUCAUUUUGAUGAUACCAGCCUCGGGGAAAACAUGGUGCAACACCAACCAGACGUGGGACAGGAGCAGGACGAUUAUUCUGCGGUUCCCUCUGCUUCUGCUGUGCAGAAAUAUGAAAGCGACCAACAUCCUUUCGGUGUUUUAUUGAAGCAGUACACACCCAUGAAAAAUGUGGAGGGCAUCAGCUUCCCAACAAUUAAAGAUUUCCAACGGUUCAUAGAGACGAUGAAGAGCUCCUAUUUAAUACCAGGAAGGGACUCAAGAGGACAUUUUCAAACUGCUCGAGAGACGAUGAAAAAUGAGUUGAUUUCUGAUGCCCAAAGGAUUAAGGGAGAGUCUUCCA